rnacentral:rRNA from 1 species
UACGUAGGGUGCGAGCGUUAAUCGGAAUUACUGGGCGUAAAGCGUGCGCAGGCGGUCCGUAAAGUCUGAUGUGAAAGCCCCGGGCUCAACCUGGGAACUGCAUUGGAAACUAGCGGGCUCGAGUGUGGCAGAGGGGGGUAGAAUUCCACGUGUAGCAGUGAAAUGCGUAGAGAUGUGGAGGAACACCGAUGGCGAAGGCAGCCCCCUGGGUCAAGAUUGACGCUCAUGCACGAAAGCGUGGGGAGCAAACAGG